UACGUAGGGUGCGAGCGUGUCCGGAAUUAUUGGGCGUAAAGAGCUUGUAGGCGGUCUGUCGCGUCUGCUGUGAAAAUCCGGGGCUCAACCCCGGACUUGCAGUGGGUACGGGCAGACUAGAGUGUGGUAGGGGAGACUGGAAUUCCUGGUGUAGCGGUGAAAUGCGCAGAUAUCAGGAGGAACACCGAGUGGCGAAGGCAGGUCUCUGGGCCACUACUGA
rnacentral:rRNA from 1 species